UACGAAGGGGGCUAGCGUUGCUCGGAUUUACUGGGCGUAAAGGGCGCGUAGGCGGCUUGGCAAGUGGAAGGUGAAAUCCCUCGGCUUAACCGAGGAACUGCCCUCCAAACUGCUUCGCUUGAGACCGGGAGAGGUGAGUGGAAUUCCCAGUGUAGCGGUGAAAUGCGUAGAUAUUGGGAGGAACACCAGUGGCGAAGGCGGCUCACUGGACCGGUACUGACGCUGAUGCGCGAAAGCGUGGGGAGCAAACGGG
rnacentral:rRNA from 1 species